rnacentral:lncRNA from 10 species
UUACAGAUGAGAGAGGGAGGGAGAGGAGGAGUAAAGGGAUGUGCCCAAGGCUACGAGACUGAAACAGAGUGCAGUAGAAAGGAGAAGAGUCAGGAGUCAGAAGACCUGGAUUCAAAUUCUGCCUUUGUACUGGAUGAAGAACUGUAGACAGGUCCUCAUUGUCACCCAGAGCCUCACAUAUAAGGGCAAUAGAUGGGACGAUAAUCGCUAAACCAUGAGGUUGCUGUAAGAAUGAUAUAAAAUAAUAUAUCAGCAAUAAUAGUCCACGUUUCCCCUACACUUACCAGUGUGCCAGGCACCCUUAAGGGCGUCACACACAUUAUUUCAACCAUUACAAUCUUUUAAGUAUCCCUACUUCUGUAGAUGUCCCUACUUCUGUAGAUGUCCCUACUUCUAUAGAUGAGAAAACUAAGGCUCAGAGAGGUUAAGCAACGUGGCCAAAGGUCACACAGCUUGUAUGUGGCAGAGCAUGAAUCUGAAUCCAAGUGGCGACUACUUCACUACUUUACUGGGCACAGGAUCCCAGCACAUCCAAGUUGGAAGAUACCUUAAAAGCACACCAGGUCCAACCUGCUGUUGACUGCUGAGGAGCCCGAGAGCCCCACUCCUAAGUUGUGUUACAAAUCAAAUCUCCUUUUCACCCUGACCUGCAUCGUAACUUCCCAGAUGAUUCUCUGCAUCUGAAGGCCUUCACCAGACACAUGGCAUCCACAGAGCGAGUAUGGUUCCCUUCAGAGGAGGGCAUCGAGACCCAAAGAAGCCAAGUAAUCUGCCCAGGACCACAUAGCAAGUCUCAGGCUGAGCUGGGAGUCCAGCCUCCUCCUGCAGGCUCUUUGCUGCAAAGCCUUGUGUUACAUGUACUUGGUGGGGCUGGGGGCAUUUGAUGCUGGAGAGAGGGUAGUGUUUCUGAGACCUCUGUGUGUCUCUAAAAGCAUCUAGGUAUGACCCUUGAUGGCUUGUGAUCUAGAUUCUGAUUAGAUGUGGGCAAUAAUUUCUCCUCCUCUCCCUGAGACCCAGCCCAAUGUGGAGCUUUGUGUCAAGUAUGGCUGCAUUCCUGUUGUGCCCAUCCCAGUGCCAGCUACAGACUUGGUGGCCCAUGGAGUGGCUCGCACUGCUGGUUGUCUACUCAAUAUUCAUUCAGAUUUCUGUAUCAAAGUGAUAUCAGCAUGCCCAGCCUCAAGUGAUGAAGUGUGAUGGGUCUAAAUCCAUCAUGGUAAUCCGUUUCCUCUUUGCCAGUGAUAGGCUUGUGAGUUGCCGAAUGACACAGUUCCAACCAACAAGAUGGGAAGGAAGUAAAUGGGAACCUCCAGGAAAGAUUUUCCUCCCGAAUGAAGACACGUAAGAGAAAAGAGCCCUGGGCCCUCUCCCACUCUCCCUUCCUUCCUGCUGGUGAUGCUUUUGGGAAGGAUAUAAUGCCUGGAACCAGGGUGACUGCCUUGUGACCAUGGGGCAACACCUGCUGAGGAUGUCACAGCAGGAGGAUAGAGAGAGCCUGGGCCCUCACUGACAUUGUUGAGUUGCUGCACCAGCCUUGGAACCACCUGCCUUGUCAACUAAGAUCACAUAUAUAUAUGUACUGGUUAUGCCAUUAUCUGUUUGGUAUUAUGUUACUUGAAGCCAGCAUAUCCUAAUCAAUAAAAGGGAUAAUAAAGGAACUGGGCAUGGUGGCCCACACCUGUAAUCCCAGCACUUUGGGAGGCCAAAGAGGGGUGUAUCACCUGAAGUCAGGAGUUCAAGACCAGCCUGGAAAAUAUACUGAAACCCUGUCCAGCCUGGAAAACAUACCGAAACCCUGUCUCUACUAAAAACACAAAAAUUAGCUGGGCAUGGUGGUGGGCACCUGUAAUCUCAGCUACUUGGGAGGCUGAGGCAGAAGAAUCACUUAAAUCCAGGAGGUGGAGGUUGCAGUGAGCCAAAAUUGCACCACUGCACUCCAGCCUGGGUGACAGAGCAAGACUCUGUCUCAAAAAUAAUAAUAAUAAUAAUGAUAAUAAUAAUAAUAAUAGUAAUAAAGGGAUCUACCUUAUGAAGUCAACAC